UAUACGCUCAAUGGUGGCAUUAAGGCUUAAAUUUCAAAGUCCUAGAAUUUCUAAAGAUUAUUUUUAGUUCAAAAGACUGUUUUGAAAGAAUAAAUGAGAGUGAAUUGCGCAAUUAACUUGGCUUCCUCUGUUCAAGGAGAUAGCAGAUCAGACAUUACUCCAUAACAGCCACUCUUUACGUGUUAGGUUUUGCGGAGAAAAAUGGGGAAAACUUCUCAAAUCAAGGGAGAGACGAGUCCAGGGAUCGCACCCAAGAACCCCAAUUGCAUGAGAGCACCACCCUUGAUUGUGAUGGAAGAUUAGCUUUUGAGAAAGAAUGAAGAAUAGCACCUUGGCACGAAGUAGUGGACCAACUAAACCGACAGACCUUUGAGCUCUUCGUCGUCCUGGAAACUGGAGAAGCCUUUACCUGCUCCUUCGUCACGUGGUUCCAUCAUUGUCU